rnacentral:rRNA from 1 species
UUAUGAUUAGUGGCGGACGGGUGAGUAAUGUAUAGGGAUCUGCCUGUUAGUGGGGGACAACAGCCGGAAACGGCUGCUAAUACCGCAUACGCUCUACGGAGGAAAGUGGGGGACCCUCGGGCCUCACGCUAACAGAUGAACCUAUAUUGGAUUAGCUAGUUGGUAGGGUAAAGGCCUACCAAGGCGACGAUCCAUAGCUGGUUUGAGAGAAUGAUCAGCCACACUGGGACUGAGACACGGCCCAGACUCC